CAAAUGACUCUCGGCAAUGGAUAUCUCGGCUCUUGCAUCGAUGAAGAACGUAGUGAAAUGCGAUACUUGGUGUGAAUUGCAGAAUCUCGYGAACCAUUGAGUCUUUGAACGCAAGUUGUGCCCGAGGCCUUGUGGUCGAGGGCACGCCUGCUUGGGUGUCAUGRC
rnacentral:rRNA from 1 species